rnacentral:misc_RNA from 1 species
GUUUUGUUACUUGGAAGAAAGGAGAAUUUAAUAGUCAUAGGCCACAAGUACAACAAAAUGUGUUAAAAAAAAUUUUAUUUGCUGUCCCUCUGAUGCACGGUGGAUGCUCUCUUAGGUCGCACAUAGAAAAUGGAGGAAAAGAUUGUGGUAGGAAGCUGAAAAGCAAUGAAAUAUGCCAGGGUUUACCAGAGAAACAAAGAAAGCAUGAAAAAUUCCUGGUACUCAAGUCGAUGAUUCAUUCUGUUAGUGAGAUUGACAAAGCAUCAAUCCUGGAUGACAUGAUUAGAUACUUAGAAGAGCUUGAGGCAAGAGUGGAAGAAUUGGAAUCUUGCAAAAACUUGGUGGAGUAUACAGCAAGACCCAGAAGGAGUGAAUUGGAAAUGGCAGAGAAGACAUCAGAUAACUAUGAAAACAUGAAGUUUGAAAAUGGCAAGAAGGUUUGGAUAAAAAAGAGGAAGGCCAGUUUCAUUUAUGAAACUGAACCAGAGCUUAAUGUAAUGGUAACCGAGGAUGUCUUGCCCACGGAUGUGAAGGUCAGCAUGAGGGAGAAGGAGGUUCUAAUUGAGAUGAAAUGUGCUUACAGGGAAUACAUAUUGCUUGACAUUAUGGAUGAAAUCAACAAUCUUCACUUGGAUGUGCACUCAGUUCAGUCAUCUAGUAUUGAUGGCAUUCUCACAGCGAGCCUAAAGUCUAAGUUUCGAGGGGCAGCAGUUGCAUCUGCAGGGAUGAUCAAACAAGCACUUU